rnacentral:rRNA from 1 species
UGGGGAAUAUUGGACAAUGGGCGAAAGCCUGAUCCAGCCAUGCCGCGUGAGUGAUGAAGGCCCUAGGGUUGUAAAGCUCUUUCACCGGUGAAGAUAAUGACGGUAACCGGAGAAGAAGCCCCGGCUAACUUCGUGCCAGCAGCCGCGGUAAUACGAAGGGGGCUAGCGUUGUUCGGAAUUACUGGGCGUAAAGCGCACGUAGGCGGAUUGUUAAGUCGGGGGUGAAAUCCCGGGGCUCCACCCCGGAACUGCCUUCGAUACUGGCAAUCUAGAGUCCGGAAGAGGUGAGUGGAAUUCCGAGUGUAGAGGUGAAAUUCGUAGAUAUUCGGAGGAACACCAGUGGCGAAGGCGGCUCACUGGUCCGGUACUGACGCUGAGGUGCGAAAGCGUGGGGAGCAAACA